rnacentral:rRNA from 1 species
CUAACCCCGACCGAAGGGAAGGGCGAGGUCCGUUAACGGAAGUGAUUAGGUAACUGGGGUG